AACCAUUCUCACCUGCGGCUAGACCUGCGGAGGGAUCAUUAACGCGUCUCCGACGGCGAGGGCGCGCCCCUGCUCCGGGCCGAAAGGCCGCGCUGCGGGGCGGCCCGAGCCGCUCGACCUUUGCGAACCCGCUGUGCACUUUUGUCGGCAGAGGCCCCCCCGGGGCCCGAGCCGGAAUCACAAACCCACUCGAAUCGAACGCUGAGCGGCCCCCGUGCCGCCUAAACUUUGACAACUUUC
rnacentral:misc_RNA from 1 species